AUUGAACGCUAGCGGGAUGCUUUACACAUGCAAGUCGAACGGAGUGGCGAACGGGUGAGUAAUGUAUCGGAACGUGCCCAGUAGCGGGGGAUAACUACGCGAAAGCGUAGCUAAUCCCGCAUACUAUUGGAGCGGCCGCUAUCGGACUAGCUCUUUGGUGUGGUAACGGGGCCACAAGGCGACGAUCCGUAGCUGGUUUGGGAGGACGACCAGCCACACUGGGACUUAGACACUGCCCAGACGCCUACGGGAGGCAGCAGUGGGGAAUUUUGGACAAUGGGGGCAACCCUGAUCCAGCCAUCCCGCGUGUGCGAUGAAGGCCUUCGGGUUGUAAAGCACUUUUGGCAGGAAGGCGGUACCUGCAGAAUAAGCACCGGCUAACUACGUGCCAGCCGCCGCGGUAAUAC
rnacentral:rRNA from 1 species